CUCUGGCCAGGUCCCCCUAGGGAAAAGUAGAGUCAGCUACACAACUAAAGUAGCCACAGCUCCCGGUUCUCUCCCUCAGACUGCUUCUGUCCAAAGUGGAUUACAUUGAUAAAAAUGAUCAGAGUUCUCAAUAUUCUCCUGAGACAAAAGUCAUGCAAAGACACAAGGAAAAGGCAGCCAUCUACAAGCCAAGGAGAGAGGCCUCAAG
rnacentral:lncRNA from 1 species